rnacentral:lncRNA from 1 species
UCAAACACAUCACAUGCGCAACUCUAGGCGUACAUGUAUGAGUGUUUGAACGGGGUCAGUGGCGAGACCGGCGUCUGUCUCUUCAGAGGGAUUCGCGUGCAUUCAAGUUGAAAUAACACGUAAUAUCCCCGGUCUCAAUCGAACAGUCCGAGUGGAAAGAAAAAGACACGAUUAUCAAAUGCUACAUGUUUUGGGCAACUCUCGGUCGUUGAAUUGGUUGUUUAUUUAUUUUUAUUUGGCCUAAUAAAACUUAGUGUUAAUAACCAGGUUCAUUCUGACAGGAGUCGCAGGGGACCUGCUUGCUGUUUUGUCUCUCAGUGCGUAUCUGAACCGGGACGGUGUUUUUAUGUUGUGCAGCGCUGCGUUGAGAACCCUCUAGUGGCUACACGAUGAACUCUCAUUUAAAAAAAAAAAAACAUUUAAAUAUGGUAAGGCGAGCUGAAUAUUUGUAUUGUUCUUUCCUUUGUCCACAACGACCUAUUAUCGUGCGCAGCGCUGGCUGUGGAGAGUGACAGAAAGCCAAACGCAGGGUGCUGAUGGGGAAAACGAGAAGCAGAGGGAGCCUUGAAAAUGACUGAAUGCACUUCCUACAUUGUGUGCUCCUGUUAUCAGUGUCCUGGUUCUCACAGCUGCAGAGGGACUCCUUGCAAACAUGUGAUGUCAAUACUGCUGAAUAUCAAUGGGCACUGGUGCUAAAGGACCAGCGGGAAACCUAUAGGCACAUCAGAAGUUUAAUUCAACGGAGAUGGACAAAGUCAGCCACCUGUAAGUCAAGCAUCUGAUAUAGAUGAAUACUUAACAGAGCUAAGGCAAAAGCUCAGUUAAAGUGGGCAGCAACAACCUCAUACUGAAGCUGCUGAAAAUGAAGCUAUAGUAUGAAAUCAGUAGUGAUGAUCUAGACUUUUUUGUCAUUUUAAGUUAAGCUGAGAUCAGUCUGUGUUGAUUCUGACUCAAUUUAAUCAAGAUUAAAUAAGUUGAGCAGAGCCAGCAUACAUUUCAUAAUCACAUUCUGACUGUAUAAGAAACAAAAACAAAAAUUUCCCAUAGGACAUUAACUUUGCUUGGGUCUCUAAUUACUGCUGUAAUUGAUCUAUGUUUCUAAGCAAUGAAAUCUUUUAAUGAAUCAAAUAAUUUCUCUCAACUUUUGAAUCAAUAUUUCACCACUGAGCAAUUGAGACAAACAUCUGCUCCACCCAUUUCCUUUUGCAAAGUUGGCAAGUUUGAUUUGUAUUUAAUCUCUGGUUAGGGAAGGAGAGGAAGGAAAAAGUGAACAGUAUUUGACAUUAUUUUCAGUCCGAUUUUAACGUGAAGGUUGAACUGUGUUCUUAGGACAAGAAUAUUUCAGUGUCAGGUCAGUGCAAGUUGUCACGCUUUUAAUCAGUGAAGGUUUUAUAUGUUGAUCUUUAAAUUUACACAACUUACCAAUUUCUGUUGACCAAAGCAAUAGUCAGUAGUUUAAUAUAUUUAAAAUUUAUUUUUAAAUUUUAUUUUCAUUUAUAUUUUUUGUUACCAUUUACAAAUCAUAGUUGUUUUACUGUUUAAAUUUUGCUGAAAAGUUUAGCUUAGGUUCCAUAGUUUAUUUUCAGGUUCCAUGAUCUUAUUUUGAGCAAUAAUGGAAGAGUUGUUUAAAGUUUUUUUUUUUUUUUUUGUUUGGCAAGAUUUUAAGGUAUGUGUCUGUACUGAAAUUAAUUAUAAAUUUGAUAAAGACCAACAAAAAAAAACACACAACAAAUCACAACAAUAAAGAGUGUGACAAACAUUCCCAGACUAAAUCACCCAUUUUGCUAUUAUUAUAUAUUUUCUAAUUUAUGUUUAAGAUAAGA